GAGCCGCUAGCUCAGGGGUAGAGCAUCUGACUUUUAAUCAGAGGGUCGAGGGUUCAAAUCCCUCGCGGCUCACCA
rnacentral:tRNA from 1 species